rnacentral:rRNA from 1 species
AACGAACGCUGGCGGCAGGCUUAACACAUGCAAGUCGAGCGCCCCGCAAGGGGAGCGGCAGACGGGUGAGUAACGCGUGGGAAUCUACCCAUCUCUACGGAAUAACGCAUGGAAACGUGUGCUAAUACCGUAUACGUCCUUCGGGCGAAAGAUUUAUCGGAGAUGGAUGAGCCCGCGUUGGAUUAGCUAGUUGGUGGGGUAAAGGCCUACCAAGGCGAGGAUCCAUAGCUGGUCUGAGAGGAUGAUCAGCCACACUGGGACUGAGACACGGCCCAGACUCCUACGGGAGGCAGCAGUGGGGAAUAUUGGACAAUGGGCGCAAGCCUGAUCCAGCCAUGCCGCGUGAGUGAGGAAGGCCCUAGGGUUGUAAAGCUCUUUCACCGGUGAAGAUAAUGACGGUAACCGGAGAAGAAGCCCCGGCUAACUUCGUGCCAGCCGCCGCAGUAAUAC